AAGACCUGCAGAAUAUGUAAAAGUGCUGAGCUCCAUGGGCGUGAAAAAAAGAACAUGACUGCAGAAAGGAAGGAAGCUCAAAAUCAAUGGAACAAUCAAUGGCCGUAAGAAUCCUCAAAGGUAUUGAAAACAAAGGACACAAGCGAAAACUUUAGCUCUGGAUGAUGAUACCAGUACCAUACCUAAAGUGAAAAUGGAAGUAAAUGCUGACAAAUAGAUAUGUAGUGACAAGAAUCAUUCAUUCAAGAACGUUACAAAUAAUCUGCAUGCCUAACAAAAAGAAAAUAUAAGAGGAUACUGAGUGCGUCACAUAAAAAAGGCUUGGCAUAUGCUAUGUCAUCUCACAAGGAAGAUCCUGUGUCUCUGAAAGAGAAUCUACUAGCUAUUCCACACCAGCUGUAUGGCAAUUGUUCUUCAUGUCGGGCCAAAUGGUGUUGAUAUCUACAAAAUGAGGAAACGUGCACACCGAAACGUCUCUCCUACGGGUAAUAUCUCACCGACUCUAAUCUGUUUUAAGAUCUUCUGCAACUCUUUACGUCGUAUGCUAAUAAGUCAGAGAAACUUUCUUUUCUUGAAAGCACUCAACAUGAAGAGAACUUCAAUCAUGUUAUUUCCAGGAAAAAUCCCAAAAACAAUUUCUGCUCUGGAUCUGAGAGUAUCAGUGUUAGAGUUGCCGCAGCAGUGUGCGAGAAGAAUAUUGAAGCUCCAUAUGUACUUCAGAGCUAGCUUUGGCCUCUGGAUCAUGCACUGUCAAAGAUGCUGAAAGAAUGAAGAAAUUAAAAAUGAAUUUGGAUCAGAUAUAAGAGUAGAAUUGAAGAAAAAGUCAUCAUCUGCAACAACUUUAUAUGAAAUAAGAGAGGGCGUAACACAUGAGAGCACAGUUCUUUCGCAGACUGGUGGUAUCCCUAAUGACAGACUCGAGACUGUACCAUUCCGUCCAGAACAACUUCACCAAGUUGCAUUGCCUCCUGAUGAAUACAUUAGAGUCUACUUUGAUCUAGAGACAACUGGCUUAGAUUCAUCAUGUGAAAUAACACAAAUGCGUGCAAGGUGUGGAGAUUCUUCUUUCUGUCGGUAUGUAUUACCAUCAAUUGCCAUACAGGAGACAGCUUCAAGGAUAAGGGGACUUACAUGUGAUGAUUCAACUUUAAAAAAAAAACUGCUCUAUACUGGAGUGUUUGACAUCAUUUCAUGAAUGGCUAAAUAAUACACCGAAUAUACAUAAACCAACACUAUUUGCUCAUAACUGCAGAAAAUUCGAUAGUGUUGUUCUAGGCAGAUCAAUGAGAAAAUGCUCUGAUAUGACAUUGCAAGACUGCAUUGUUGGAUUCUGUGAUACCCUGUCUAUGUUGAAGAAUCAUGCGUCUUGUAAUACCACAAAUUCAACUCUAGCGACCCUUGUGCUGGAAAUUCUAGGCUGUACAUUCGAGGCACACGAUGUACUUGAAGACAGACUGUACAUAUCUACAGAAACUUGUGGAACAUCACAGUACAUAUUCCUAUUAUUUAAACUAUACUUUCAGUAUGGAUUAUAUGAUGCAAGUUGUACUCCAAAUGGAAGACUCUAAAUCUAACUUGCAAACUUUUAUGCCCUUGUAAACAAAAAACAGUGCCUGAGAGCAUGAUGAAAAGGAUGUCUCUCUCUGGGCUUUCAAUGCAUCAUCUACAGUUAGCGUACCAACGAGGAGGCUUUGAUGGAGUACAACGUGUACUGAAUGAAAAAAAAAACCCAGAGGUAACCAAACACAGGGACAUUAACAUUUCUGUUGUUGACUUAUUGAAAGAAAGAUAACAAUUUCUCAUACAUAAUGUAAAGAUAUUUUCUUUUAUUUCAAUAAUUUUAAUACUGGAUACAGCACAUUUUAAUUUAUUUAUUUUACAUAUAUAUAUAUCUAUUGAAUGUUUUCAUGUGCAGGAAUCAAGUGUUAUCAUACUCUCCUUAAUACAAAUUAGCAAAACCUUGAAGUCACUUCUCUUUCCUUAUAUAAAUCUUUAUGGGUGAUAAUGCAUUAUCUUUGAAAGACGCAUGGAAACAUUGCAUAAAAAUGUUUGAUUUAUUAUAAUAAUCAUUAGUAUGAGACAGUAAAAUGUCAUUUGCUUUAAAAUUUACACUUUCAAUUUUGGUACCUGAGGAUCGG